AGAAUGCAAUUCAAUAAAUAACAGAUGCACUUGUUAUUAUUAUCAGAAACCAGUCAAUGUAGUUUUAUUAUCCUUUAGUUUAUAGAUGGUAAAGAGAAGCUCAGAACAGUUAAGUACAUUCAGCCAGUCAGUCGCAUGUCACACUUUGAACCCAUACCCGCCUAGCUCCCUACAUGACAGUGUUUGAUAUGUGAACUCCCUCUAAGUCUCUCUAUGUGCUUUUACAUUGUAGCACCGGAUUCUUACAGCAUUCCUGGAAGUACAAGGACCUUGCUAUUAUCUCUUUUCUGCUUACAGGGAAACUGAGGCCCAAGGUCACUCACUCAGCAUGCUGGAGCCAGGUAUAUUUUCACUACAGGACCACACCAGCUACUGCUUCUCUUGGAAUGUCCCAGCUCCCAUGUGGCGUCCUGGCUCCUGGUCCAUAACGGGAGAAGGGGCGCAAACACAUCAUGCCAGGCCUGGCAGCACCAACACUGACAGUCCCACAUUCUGUCUCACCAGUGAGAGGGACACUGCAGAAGGAGCAUGAGAGCAGGUGUCUGAGGCCCCUGGCGCCACCCUGGAUCAAUACGCUCAGUUUAAUUACUUUCAGGACCUGGCCAGUUGCUGGUGCAUCCAACUUGGAGCUACAUGCUGGAUAACAAGACCAUAUGCUCCCAAUGUCAGCCCUCCCAACACAUUCUCAAAAGCUAACCAGUUCAGAGGCAUUAUUCUGGAGAUAGAAGAAGGGAAAAAGUGAGGCAGCUUUGGAGAAAACAGGGGCUUUGGGGCUGGGAGAAUGUGCUUAAUGACACGCACAUGGUGAUCCGCAUGGCUGCCUAUUCCUCCUUGGCAGCCUGUGUUUUCUGAGCUUUUCGACAGUGGGAUAGGGGAAUUGCUACUCUGUGUCCACAGAGCCCAAGGAUGAGGCAUUUAUCUCAUCAGAUUGUUGAGAUACAGUGUGGGUGUUUUGAUGUCAUUACUGCAUGGAUAGCAGUGUGCAGUGGAGGGGAGCAGAGAUACUGAGAUAAAUAACACAGGAUCCUUAAAAAAUACACUGGGAACAAGAAGGCCAUCAGCAGUAUGUCUGAGCCAGAAGGGACCCCAGAGAUUGCUGGCCAAGCCAGCAUCACCUUUCGUAGGAGACAGAGGCCGAGAGGAGUGACACAACUGUCAGGUUCACUAUAAAAGAGGGGUAGAGCCUAGGCGUCUCCCCUGUCAUUCCAGGCUCAUUCCACUGCACCAUAGGUUUGAGCUCUGGCAUCACCAACAGAGAAAAGAUGAUGGCGGAGAAGCACAUCUCACGCUGCAUUUGCAGGCAAGAUGGUCCCCUGGGGGAGGCUAUUCAGCCACCACAGAAUUAAAAAGGUUUGAAUACCUGUAAAGGAGGGAUAGGAGGAGAAGACAGGAUAGGAGAAGAAUGAGCUGGGGAUUCGGAAGUUCCUGAUCCUUGCUAACAUGCCACCUCCCCCACUAUCCAGCAGGAAGCUGAGGAGGGCACAAAGCAAGACAGAGGGGGAUCAUCUUCCUGCCUUGUCUUGAAAUAAAGCAUCAGGCACCCAUGGGUUCAGAGGGCCCCAAGCCUAGGAUUUUCACAUGAAACAGGAGUAGGACAAAUGCUCAGUUUGCUGAUUCCAGCUCUGUAAGUUCUGAACCAUUAACUGGAGGGUGGAGGACCCGGCACUCUUCACCUAGAGAGGCAGACAGCCAUGGUAGUUAACAGUUCCCUCCUGAAGACUGUAUGAAAGCCAGUAUCACUCUACCCACUUCCACAAGGGCCAAGGGCCUCCCACCAGGCCAGCAAAGAUGCUGAUCUUCAAACUCACUGUCCUGGAAUCCCUGGUAUUGUUGCUUAAUUCACCAGGUCACUUGAGGGUAGGAAUGACCUCAGCUCAUCAGGCAGGCGUCCUGGAGCUGAUAUUUAAGGAGAAAUCCAGAGGCUUAAGAAGUAGUCAAGAAAAAGUUCAGUUCAGACAAUUGGAAGGAGAAAGGGAUUUGCAGGGAACAAAAGGGACCAAUGUGGGUUUGGGCAGGCCAGAGAAGACAGCUCUGGGAUGGGGAAGGAGGUGGCUGCUGGCAGAUGAAGAACACAUUGGUGCAGAGCUAACUUUCUGCCCCACUGAGGACAUGGGGAAUGGCAAAGCCAAAAGGAGUACCAUCAAUUUUAAGAAAAAUAUGUCUUGAGGAAGUACUCGCUGCUAAGGAAUCCAUGUGUCAUCUGAUGGGGUGGCUAGUUUGCCAAAAGGGCUGGGUGACCUCAGGGAUGCCAGUCAUCUUCUAAACCCUGAUCUGGCAGUGAAUAGCCCAUGUGGAGGAGGGUCGGGGAACAGGAAGAACCACAAGCAUACAGUGCGUUUGGGAAGACGCUCUCUGCCUGGCUUGGAUGCGAGGGUUAAGUGAUUUGCCCUAGGUCAUAAAGCUUCUAAUUUGGACAAGUCAUGUGAUCUCUCUGGAGCUCAGUUCCCUCCUCUGUAAGAAGAGAAGGUUGGACAAGAUGCUCUUUUUGUCAAUUCUGACAUUCUGCAGGUCUAAUCAAGGACUUCUGAUCUGCCAAUUUGAUCUCCCUGGACAACUGCAGGCAUCUGAAGACAGACUCAGGAGAACAAUGGUGCCAGAGGACUGGUCUGGGAAAAGCAGAGCAUGGAUCCUCCCCAGAAGAGCCCCCCAGAAACCCCCACAGAGACAGCCUGUCUUAGGAGAUACCACAAUAAAUUGUGUGUCCAUUCCAAUCCCAGCAGGGCCUGCCUUCCUGCCUACUCCCUGGGAGUCAGCCUUGUUUGAAGUAAGGCUUUGAGCACUGUCCUCUGCUGCCCACUAGGGAGCACCAGCAGGGUGGAAAAGGGAAUGGACACCCUUGGCUGCUCAUUGUUCUUGGGUUUAGGCCUAGGGUUUGAGGCUGGCUCUAAGAUGCCCCUUCAUUGAUCAUUUGAUCCCAGAAGUAGAACUUGGCUUUAUAAGAGCUGCUGUUCUUUGUUCUCUCUCUCUCUCUCCUUUGCACUUUUUAGUCAUUUCUCUGAUUCUCCCUGCUCUAGUUUUGGCCUCUCCAGUCAUCUUGACAUCUCUACCUGGAUACCUCAAACUAAACACAUCCAAAACCCAACAUCCAAACUUCCCUCAACUACUGCCCAUCUCAGAUAAUGGCUAUCUCCAGCUUUCCAGUUGCUUUGGUCAAGAAAUUUAGAGUUGACCUUUAUGCCUCUUUCUUCCAUGCUUAUUGUCCAAUAUGUCAGCAAAUCAUUCCAGGUGUACUUUUUUUUUUUUUAAAAGAAAGGCAGACUGCCAUGUGCAGCACCUCAUUUGGAUGUGUCUGGAGUCUUGGAAGCUUGACUACCCUACGUUCUCCUACAAAUGGACCUUGAGAACUUGUUUGGAGGUUCUAGCAAGGGAGCACAGCUACUCGUAUACCCUUGACCAAAGAACAGUCCUCCUCUAUUGGGGAAGGUCGUCCUCUUCAACCUAGCGCACAGCUUCGGGAGGGACACACAUGGAGUAAUGAGGGAGGAAGGGGACACCCGCCUAGCCAGCCAGAUCAGCCGAAUCAACCCUGGCGAUCAAUGGGGUGACAGAUGUUGCAGCCAGAUUGCCUUCACAUCCCUAGCUGUACUUCUAAUAUAUAUUAAGAAUCCAGCAACUUCUCUCUACCUCCACUGUUUAUGCUCCAGUCCAAGCUACAAACAUCUGCCUCCUGAAUUACUGAUCUAGCCUCCUGCGUGAUCUUCCUGCUUUUACCAGCUCCAACAGCCUCCCCUUUGAUUCCCUUUUAAAACAUCAUCAGAUCAUGUCACUCCUUUGCUUAAAACCCUCCAUAAGCUUUACACUUCAUUCAAAGUAAAAGCCAUAAUCAUCACAAUGACUUUAAGGCUCUACUUAUUCUUCCCUUAUUCCUCACUGACCCCAUGUCAAAGAGCUCACUGUGCUCCAACCACACCUUUUUCCUCCCUGUUCCUCAAAGACACUCUGAGCAUAGGGCUUUUGUACUUUCUGUUCCCUCUAUCCUGAAUGCCCUUUUCCCCAGAUAUCUACCAGACUCACUUCCUUAACCCCUGCAGGUCUUGCCUCAAAUGAGGCAUCUUCUCAAUGAGACCUUCCCUGACCCCUCUAUUUAAAAUUAUAAUCCCAUCCUGGCACCCUAUCUCCUUCCCUGCCUUAAUUCCCCCUCAAUAUCUAAUAUAUUUUACUCUUUUCUUUCUUUAUUUUCUCCUAUUCUUUGUUUUCUUCCUUCCAUUAAGGGGUAAGCUCCCUGAAAGCAGGGUGUUUUAUCUGUUUUGUUCACUAAUGCUGCAACUGAUAUAUCUACAAGAUGCCUGACACAUAAUAGGUACUCAAUAAAUAUUUGUUGAAUGAAUAUAGCCCCUACCCUGUAGGUGCCCAGAGAAUACUUAAAAAGCAGGGGCCAGAGCCACUUCCCAGACCUGUCAUGGGUUUCUGAUCUUCUAUAUGCUGUCACUCUUUCCUCCUCCCACUAACUUUCUGGACUCCUACCAUUUGUCCCACAUUUCGGACAUCCUCACCCCCACCCUGGACCUAUGAAGCAUCACUCUGGUUCCAGGCUGCAUCCUGGCCUUCCCCAUUACCAGUCUCUGUCUUUCUCUGACUCUGCCAUCCACAGACACUGAUCUGCUCAGACAAUGAGCACUGGCACAGGUCAGAUUCCUGGUCCCAGGUCCUCAAUCUUCAUCCCCAAUCUGUGGCUGCACAUACCCACUGCUGAUGCCAGAGACACAGGUAUUGGCCACAAGAAAGACUGCUGUUGCAACGGCAAGUCUGAGCCCCCACUCAGAUUGGUCAGUGUUUCUUUAUUCUUUCCCUUGGCGGCAGAUGAGGGAGGAAACAGAUUGGGGACUCGAAACACACCAGGUGUUUAAUAGAUGGCUAAGUGAAAAGGGUUUCCAAAUUAUAUGCCAACACAGCAGCUUGUACAGCAUUCAGCCCACUGCCUGCAUUAUGGCUUUUGGACUCAAAGAAAAGCCAAGGGAAAGGUAGCUGGGAGUGCCAGCUGAUUGUCACAUGGUGUGCAAGUCCCUUGAUGGGAGGACAGUCAUGGGCUCUAGGCCCAUAUCUCAGGGUAACUGACCAUCCACUAGGUUGAGGUGACAAGUUCUGUGUCCACAAUGUGAGUCCUGAAGGCACUGCACUGUACCCCUUGGCAGACCUCUGCUGAUCCUGCCCAUUCCCUCCUUACCCGACUCUGCUCUAUAUCAGGAAACUCGGGUUAAAGACCUGGCCCUGGCACUGACUCACCUUGGGACUAGACUGACAUGAGGAUGCUGAGAUGACAAAUAAGAUGAUGGAGAGGCGAGUGUUUUGCUUCUUAGGAAGAAAGGCAUCUUUGUGACGCCCACAUGAAAUCAUUCCCAUAUUAGUACAUGUGCACAAUCCUGGCAUUGCAGCCUGAAACAUAUCCAGGCCCUUUCAGGGCUCUCACUGGCCAGAUGAGAUGUCGCAGGACUUCUCUGCAGCAGCAACAGAGGCACCUGUUGGGUAUGUGGGUUGUGCACACAGGAAGCAGGAAGCAAAGCCUCACUUUCUUCUAGCACUCUACCUCAGUAUGUGUAGAAACUGUCUCUGAUGUUGUCCCCUAGCUAAUGGUGAUAUUUACAAUUAUAAUUUACUUCUUAGUGCUUACUAUGUGCAAAGCAGUAUACUAAACCUUUUUCAACCGAAUGAUUCUCACAGUGUAUCCCAGGGAACCCCAGAAGGGUGCCUAAGACCCCUUUGGUGUGUCUGUGAGCUCAAAAAAAUUUUCAUAAUAAUUCUAAGAUGUUAUUUCCCUUUUUCACUUUAAUAGUCUUACAGUGGAGUUUUCUAAAGGCCACAUAACUGCAUAACACAUGAUACUGCAUCAUAUUGAGUGACAAAGCAGAUACUAGAAUCUGUCUUCCAUUAAGCCAGACACUAAGGAAACUCUUUAAAAGGUAAGGCAAUAUCAUUCUUCUCACUCAAUUUUUUGUUUUAGAAAACAAUUCUUUUUCAUUAAAAAGAUGUUAUGUUAACAUGUAGUGAGGUUUUUUGGAUGAAUUAGGUUUUAAUUUCUAAUAUAGUAAACAGUGACAGUUAUAACCCUCAUAAAGAAAAACUCUUUGGGAUCCUCAAUAAUUGUUAAGAGUAUAAAGCAUUCCUGAGACCAAAAAGGCUGAGAACUGCUACUCUGACUCAUUUAAUUCUCAAAAGAAUCCUCCAUAGUAUGUAUUGUUAUUACCCCCAUUUUAGGAACAAAAAUGUUGAGGCUGAGAGAGGCAAUGGCUUACCCAAGAUCACACAGCCAACAAGUGGUCAAAGCACAACUUGAGCCAAGUUCCAUGUGGAUCCCUAGUCCAUACUCUUGACCAUGAUGCUACACUAACUCCAAGAUAGGCCUAUGGCCUCACAGGCAGAAGCAGGUGCUUGCCUUUGUGGGUCUGAGCCACUACACUCCUCUCUUCUUCCCCAGAUUGUGUCAGCCAAGUGCCGAUACCAGGCCAAUGUGCCUAGCACAGCAGGGGUCCGUGACCUCACUGAGAAGCAGGCUGCUAUCCUCCGGGCUGACUGAGCUUGCUGGACCAAUGCUCCCAAGGUUACUGUUUUCUUCUGGAUGCGAGUGUGCAAUCUGGGGAUGCCGGUUGGGAAAGAGAUGUUCUCUGAGUAGGACAUUAAAACACCCAAGAAGGCAGGAAUUUCACUGACAGUGAUGUUUACCCAUGCUUUUUCUACAAAAAUUUUUAAAGCAUAAAUUGACUAAUUUUUAAUAAGAAAAAAAUUUUAAAGUACAACUGUUGUUCUGGUUAUAUAAAGAAAAUUAAACACCUAGAUCCAAUACAGUUCUUCAUCCAACACUGUCAGCCUCCUAGCCACAGAAGACAGGCUUCCCUACCACUUUCUCCUGUCAAGAGACCCUCAGAAAUUCGGUCCUGCCCUUAGCUCUCACUAGAACACUUCAGAGCAACUUAUUUCUGGUCUUUAACUACUAACUCAAGAAGGUUUUUUUUGUUUGUUUGUUUUAUGACAAAGACAUUAAUUGUCCUCAUUAGCAGUUUUAAUUCAUUCAGAGAUGUUUUAACUGUCUAGUUCCUAUCCAAAUGAAGAAGUGGCUUCCAGCUAAUGUUGUUUUAAGCCAAAUGGUCACACACUUUAGCCUGCAUUAGAAAAACCAGGUACACUUGUUAAAACACAAAUUGUUGGGUCCCAAGGUUUGCAGCGGGGGGGGGGGGGGGGGGCGGGCGGGGGGUGUGUGGGACAGGUGGUUCCCAAUCUGUCAUCUGAGGCAAGGCCCAAGAAUAUGCAUUUCUAUUAGGUUUCCCAGGUGAUUUUUGAUGUUAGCUCAUGACCACAUUUUGAGUUUUAAGCUACUUUUCCUGGCAUCUUCAUGGCCCUGGAUUACUUUUCCCUCCACACAAAAAAAGAAAAAACAGAAAGUGAAGGAAAUACUGAGCUAUCUGAUUUCCCCCAGGCCCAUGUAAAACCCUUCCAGUUAGGAAAAGCCAUUGUUAGUAAUCAUGUUCACUCGCUAGUGUAGCUUCAUCUCCCCCACCGAUUUUUGGAAUUUAAAAGCAUAUACAAGUUAAUUUAUAUUGAAUUCUUAACAUCACUUUAUUACUCCGUCUCUCAAAUAAUCUACUUUCUUGAAGGGUUUUUGGCCUCUCUUCCCUUUCUGAAAACUUAAGAAUUCAUUUUGAUGUAACAAACCUAACUACAAAUUGAUAAAAAAAAAAAAUGACUUCUUUUUAAUUAGACAAUGCUCAUACAUCUAUAAUAAUAAAUAGGAUAGAAAACGUUCAAGUCUCUUAAAAUAAGAAUCAUGUGAAAUUGGGAGGGAAGCAAUUAAAGUCCUAAUGGGCCAUCUGGACAAGGUAGCAUUGUGGAGCGGAAAGAGUACCAGAGGUGGACACCCAGUUCCAGAUACCAUGUUGAGCAGGGCUCUGAAAAACGGCUUUAUUUUUAUGGACCUCAGUUCUACAUAUGUAAGAUUAUGAUAAUAAAGUCUUCCUAAAAAGACUUAUGAUAUAAUUAAAAUUACUUGCUUUAUCCCACACCAUUUUAAAAGGUGACUUGAGAGAAUUUUAAUCUCACAUUUAAAAAAAAGAUGAAAAUGACAAUUUCCAAAAAUUAAUAAGUAAUUUUUUGCAAGUAGACCAGCCAAAAGCACAGGACAGUUAUUCUAAUUGUAAAUGCUGGCCUAAGUUUCCUGGCAGUAUAAUAUAAAGAAGGAUAUUAUUAUAUACCUCUCAUAUCUCAUUAAUUGAGAGGCCAACUCCUUAAAGCAACUGAAUGAGAUGAUGUACAUGAAAACUUUCAGUAUGUAACCAGAAAUAAGAGGUCAUUUUUUAAUAAUGUUUAUUUAUUUCUUUUGAGGGAGGGGGCAGAGAGAGGGAGGGAAUCCCAAGCAGGUUCCACACUGUCAGCGCAGAGCCCAAUGUGGGGCUCGAACCCACAAACUGUGAGAUCAUGACCUGAGCUGAAAUCAAGAGUCAGAUGCUUAACCAACUGAGCCACCCAGGCCAUGUUAAGUCAUGUUAAGAGGUCAUUAUUAAGAAAUUAUUAAGAAAUGAGAUUGCUCUUAGUUGAGGUAGGGGAGAUCCAAAACACAUCAGGUAACAGCACUGAAUGCAAACCCUGCCCUCAUCUUUUCUCUCUUUCCUUUGUCUCAAUUCUCAAAGAAACCUCUGCCCACUGUGGACUGGGAAUGCAUUUACUGAAGGCAGAUCUAGGGUUCUCAGGAGAAAGCUGAGAGUAUAAUGUUGACUGAACCAUACGAAAAUGCCAUCUUUGUAGGGCAAAAACUAUCCAACAUCAGCGAUUUCAGGUAGUUUAGCUUAAGAGGACAACCAAAUGAAGUGGAGGAAGAGGAGAAAUGAGGGGAAGGAUAAAGAAUAUACAAUAUCAAGACCUUCUGUGCAGUUCUGAUGAGUAUAAAGGAGGUGUGAAGAUUGGGGAGGUAUAACUCGCUGUGAACUUCACUGCUUGAGAGCCUGAGAGAAUGUGGAGGAGGAGAGAUCAGUGACAAUAGUCCAAGAGCCUGCAGGAAGGAGCUGCACUAGGAAGACAUGAUAGGGUGGAGCUGGCUGUUCACCAUGCCCAGGCACUCAGGUCGACUACCUUUCCCAGCAUCCUUUGCAGACAGAUGUGGCCACAUGACCAAGCUUUGACCAAUGAAACAUCAGUGGAAGUGACAGUCACCACUUCCAGGCCUGGCCCAUAAGAGACACCAUUAUCCUCUCUGUUCAUUCCUCUGGCUGGCUGGCUCCUGGAUAUCACUUCCUUGGAAGACACCUCCCAAAGAUGGCAAAGCCUUGAUCCCUCGAUAAAUAAGGGCUACCUGAGCAGGGCUACCUGAGCAGGGCUACCCAAGAAGAGCUACCCGAGGCCGACUGGGCUUAUAUGAGUGAUAAAUAAACUUGGUGUUAAGCCAUUAUGAUUUCAGGGUUCAACUAUCACUCAGCUAAUGUUAAUAAAAGAAUUGAUGUUCUUGUGCCCAAAGAAGACAGAACUGAACUAAAUGGGGGGAAAAGUUCAGAAUUUUAAAAGAGAGUGUUCUGGUUCCCAAACGUGAGAACACCUCAUUGGUGGAACUUUCUCAUCAGUAAGGAUUCCCCUACACCUAUAUCUCUUGAAUUUCCCCAGGACACUUUUUCAACUUCAUUAAUAGGUUAUUACUCUGGUCAUCAGAUUGGAAUCAGAGGAUGUCUGGAAAGGAUUUGGCUGCAACCAUGUCCUCCAACAAUGUCUUUAUUUAUAUAUGCUUGGGGACUUCAUCUGCUCUGCAUCUUGGCCCUUAACCUCCUCAUCUCUGGCUGGGUAACUGGUGUGUUUUAUCAGCCCAAGAACCCUGUAUGCUCACAGGGGCCAAGAAUAUAGCUUUUAUAUUUUGUUUCCAAACAGCACGAAGCUAGGCAGGGAAUAAAAGCUCAAUCAACCCUUCAGUUUAUUUGAUUUGAGCAGUUAUCUUCUGUACAACCAGAAUUGGGGGCGGGAGGAGGACUUUUCUAGCAACCUAGACAUGGGAGACUAGACUUAGCAAAAGCAUUCCAACUGUAUAUAUAAUUCAUUUUUAAGACACUGGUGUGCUCAAGUCACUGAUCACUCUUCGCUUUGACAGUUACCAAACUUUAACACACACAAGGGUGAACUAUGAAACAUGUUAAAAAUAUAGGCUUGUGGGUUCAACUCCCCAUAUUCUGAUCUAGUAGUUUUAGGGUGGGAUCCAGGAAUCUGCAUUUGUGACUUUCCUCCUCCCGUCCCACCCACAAUUCCUAUACGAGUGGCAAGGAGCAGUGUGUAUGAUUGUAACAUCUGUGAGGUGAGGUCAGGAUCAGGUCUAUCUUGUUUAAUAUUAUAUCCACAGGGCCUAGCAUAUGGCCCCACUCACAGUAAAGCUAUUAACUAUCUGUUGAAUGAGGACACUCAUCUGUCAGAUUUAUCCUAAAAACGCCCUUCCUCAAAGAAAGGAAAUGAACUAGGUGACCUCUCUGGUUCUCUGAAGGCCACCAGCUCACCAUCACAUACUUCGUAAACUGGGAAGUGCCCCUCCUGGCUGCCUCAGACCCAUCUGCUCUGAGUUCUAAUUGAGGAGGCCGACCUUCUUUGAUUGGCACUUCCCUCUCUUUCAGCCAGAGACCAUCUGUACCCACCACCUCCUGACAGCUCAGACAUCCCUUCCUCUCUGCUGGUGCAGACAGGCAAGGGCAUUGGUAAGUAGGUCUGGGCCUGGAGGGAGAGGCUGCCUUCCACACCCUGGGAUGACCUCAGGACUGUCUGUAAGCCCUGCACAGAUUGUCAGAACUCCCUGAAUCUGGGGAAUGAUGCUUUCCUGAUAACCAGACUUUGUUUCUGAAGCAGAACUGUGAGAACUCUGUUUGUUAUCUCACAUGCUCUCAGUACCUCAGUAAAACCAGUAGGUAGCAAGUGUCUUUAUCCUCGGUUUACAGAUGGCAAAGAGAGGAAAUCUGACUUGCCCAAGGUCACACAGCAGGUCAGCUGUGAAGCCAGAAGGGCAUCCAAGCUCUCUGCAUCCAAAGCAACUGCUUUCCCACAGCCAAAGCGCCUUGAGGUUGAUGGGAAGUCAUGACUGCUUUAAUUCAAGGCUGUUGCUCCUGAGUUUUGCAUCAAAGCAUAUGUUCUUCAGAAAAGAAGUACCAAGCUAAGCUUUGUUUCUCUUCUUUUGAAAGAUCUUUGGGAUGAGUCUCAGAGAGACCAUUCCUCAAUCACCAACCAAAGUGAAGAGGGGAGAGAAGGAUAAUGCAAGAUCUUUCUCUUAAAACUGGAAAUGGGGGCCCCUGGGUGGCUCAGUUGGUUAAGCGACUGGCACUUCAUUUUGGUUCAGGUCAUUAUCUCAUGGUAUGUGAGUUCGAGCCCUGCAUCAGGCUCUAUGCUGACACCACAGAGCAUGCUUGGGAUUCUCUCUCCAUCUCUCUCUGCCCUUUCCCCCAUCCCUCAAAAUAAAUAAAUAAACAUUUUAAAAUUAAAAAAUAUAUGGAAAUGAACCUGCAGUUCUUAAGGUGGGGAGUGGGCAGUGGGCCAUUUCAGAAUCACCUAAGGAACUUUUUCAACAUCAAUCUUCUCCUUUCCCCUGAAAUUCUGAUGGGUCAACAAGCUGACUUCAACCCUGACUCCAUAACAAUGGAGUACUUUGAUUGGAUUUUUCCUUUUCCCUCAUCCUCUGAGGUAGAUGUGAACAAUCAAGUGGACAAAAGGUGAGCAGUAGGAGAAGCUCUGACCCUGAACAAUCAUCAGCACAGAGUAGGAGCCAACACACAUCUGUAUCAGUUUACUGAUGCAUAGAUGGAAAAGACACAAGAGCAAUAGGUGAGCAGAUCAUUCUUGAAGCUGGCUGUCUGAGCCCCUGUGCCUCCAUUCCUAUACAGCUAGAAAACUCAGGGUCACCUAGUAUAUAUCCAGAACUAAAAUAUAAAUGGAAUUAAACCCUGUAUAAGAAAUAAAGGAGAAGGGCUGCUCCAGAUGAUCGGGGGGGUACAAAGAUAAAUAAGACUCAAGCCAUGUCCUCAAGAAGCUUGCUGAUCGAAAGAGUUCUGUGUUGCUUUAAGACUCUCUUCCAUAUUGAUAUUCUCCUCCCUACCAGCCUGUGAGCAACUGGAGUGUGGAUGCCUAUCUAGGGGUUCCACAGUGGUGGGCACAGUACUAGACACAUAUGGUAAAGUUCCAGAAAAAUGAGAUGAUUUUGCAUCCCAAGAUGUGGGAGAGAAAGCUAUACAUUAACAUAGCAUAUGUCUAGCAACUUUU